rnacentral:rRNA from 1 species
AUGCAAAUAUGUAUAUGCGGUCAUGGCAGAUGUGUCGUUGAUUCCUGGGCAUCCAUUGUUUCUGCUCCUGUGGCCAUGGCAGAUGUGUCAUUGCGGUCUGCCAUGAAGGGACAAGCGGAGUUGCUGCGCUCUGAGCUCCUCAACAUGGCUUCCUUUCGACUCGAGAAAACGGUUCAACCUCUGCGCGAUGUCGUUGAUUCCAUGCAAGGUUGGAUGCUUCGGAUGGGGAACUUUCUAGAGCGAGCUGAGGCUGUUCUGAGUGGGCUCUCGCAGGUGUCACCUAUGUUGCAAACUGCUCCUAUGCAGCGCCCCCUGGUUGUGCCUGAUGUCAACCUUGAGGACGAGAAUGGAGAUGGGCUUCAUGGACGUUUCUCUCCUCGUGCCGGGGUCAGAUCGCCGUUAUCUGCCUCUGAGGGUUCGUGCAUUGAUGUGGUUGUGUCUUCGGUGCUACAGAUCAUGCCUGAGUUUAUGGAGCUGUGUGGGGAAUCGACUCCGCCUCUAUCCGUUGAGCAAUUGAAGGUGGACCCCCUCGAGAUCUUGGUUGUGGCAUUACCUCCAUUACCACCCCUCGAGCCCAACCAGAUGCUUGACUUCGAGGAGAAGGGGCAUUCAGACGUUGCAAUGUCUUGCUCGUCCGAGUUCAUUGGGCACGUGGUUUCUGUAGAUGAUGUGGUUGUCGCACCCAGAGCAAUGCUCGUGUGCCUGGGGCUCUAA